CUGGCCCCGCCUCCUAAUCCCUGGCCCAAUGGAGUCCUCCGGCGAGGGGGGUGACGACGGACGACCCUCCCGGCUCUUUAGUCCCGCCCUCCGGUCCCAGGCCCCGCCUCCAACUCGGCCGAAUCCAGGAUAAAAUCAAUCUCACUUUCAAGUUCCGCCCUCGUCCGGUUCAGCUUUUGCAGCUCUGUGUGUGCCCUUCCCUUCUCCAGCUAAUUCCGCGUCUCGGCUCAAAGUCCCUUACCACCUCAUAUACCCAGUAAGGCUACCGCAUUCCCAGGCCUCCUCCCGACCAUACUCUUCCUUUCUAUACAGUUAUUUUGCAAAUUAUCCAAACUGUUUCAAAAGAAUCCGAACUCUGAGUCGCAAUCCAUUCUCUGUCCAGAGGUACUACAGGAGCACUGGCAGCGUGUCUCUUCUCACAGCAACAGUUUGCUCUCUUCUGAUUAAGAAUCCACAUAGAGAAGGUCUGGGCUCCUGUGACCUGGUCCAGGCCAGCCAUAUGACAGCUGCCAGUCCUGGGAGAGUUACUUAACCUCUGAAGCCCAACCCCCCACCCCAGAACACAGGGGUUCAACACGGGCUCUUGGAUGACCAUGGUCAGCAUCCAAUGAGCAUCGGUACUUGGUGUUCUCAGAUCACAGUGAGAAGGAAGCCAAAACCCAUAGGUCCAUGCUAUCUAUACUCAAGGUGACCUGGUAGGCCCAGUUUGCAUGGGGACACCCUAAUUUCUUUCCUCUGAGCUCAGUACCUGGCAGGCAUCCUUUCCCCCUACAGCCCGGGGAGUCCAGCCUGCUGGGAAGACAGAGGGUGGCCUGCUGUCUUGGCUCCCAGGGGAGGCCCUACCCAUGCCCCUAGGAAGCUGGCCUCUUCCUCAGUAGGCAGAUGACCCCCAUGCAUGUCUGUCUCUCACUCUCUUCUGGGCUGUAAUGACCCUAGACCUGGGGCUAGCAAGUCUCUGGAAGUGGACAUAGGAGGCAGGCUCCCCCCAAGACACCUCCCAGUCUCCAUGGCCUCUCUCCAACUGCAGGAGUUCUCUCCUCAUCUCUCAGAAGUUUAACAAGCAGUCUUUGGCCUCUGACAAUUCCCCAACUCACCCACCAGCUGCAAGCUCCCCCACCCUCUUUAAAACUCUUGGGAGAAAUCUCCUGCUUAUAUUUUCAAAACAGAAUUAAAUGACAGGAACUGACUAAUUAGGGAGGGGUUCCUGAAGGGAAAUGGAAUUAUCCCUACUUUGACAUUAUAGGCCCUUCUCUUCUCUCAAAGGAAGAGACAAUGGUGUCAGAUCAUUGAUAUUCUGAGCCAGACCUUGUUUUGAAAUAUCCAUUCCCUUGUCCUUUCACAGAUGAUAGCCUUUUUCCCUCUUUGAAAAUAAGAUCACAUCAAGUCAGGGAUUAGAAAUGGGAAAAAUCCGAUCAGAGCUUCCCUCUGCCAUCUACACAUCUCAGUAUACUCCCAGGCGAGCAGAACCAGCUCCUGCCACAAUUCUGCUCAGCAGCAUCAUUCAGAACGCACCAGUUGGAAAUGGUGAAACAGAAGGACCUUUCUUCCCCGGAACAUGUCCUCCAGCUCUCGGGGAACAUCUCAGUCCCACAGGUGAAGAGCUGUCAUGCACGGUCCAGCCCAAGCCCUUUCCUGAUGAGCCGGGUCAGGGCAGGUGACUCAGGUGAGCUCUCAGGACCCCCUGCUCCAGCCAGGGCUCUCUCAGCUGGAAAAGGAGGGCCCUGUGUGGCAGUUCCUGGGCUGAGAAAACCAUGUGUCAAAGUUGUGGCUCAAUCCUUCACUCUAUUUUUACCCUCCUGACACUACCUCUUUGAGUCCUGAGGAGGGGCCCUGGCCUGAGGCGGCCUGAGCCGGCGUCUCUGAGGCACAUGUGGCCAGCCUUGGCCUCCUCCAGAAACCACCCCAAAGCUGCCUUUGUACUUGUCUUGACCAGAAAUAAAUGCAUCACAUAAAUGUU